rnacentral:sRNA from 1 species
UGCCUGCACAGUACAAAAUGAAAGCAUCUCAGAGUUAACCAUGUCUCCAACUGCUCCAGAAAAAAUGGAAAGUAAUAGCACCUUCACAAGUUUUGAGAACACUACAAUCUGGUUCUUGGGAACAAUCAACUGUAUCACUGUGGCUCUUGUGUUCUCUAAAGGAAAACCAUUUAGACAGCCAACUUAUACAAACUAUAUAUUUGUCCUUGUGCUGAUAAUACAGCUUGGUGUGUGUCUAUUCAUUCUAUUUGCUGAUAUACCAGAAUUAUAUAGACGUUUGGAUCUGCUCUGCACUCCCGUCCUGUGGAGGGCCUCCAUUGUCAUCAUGCUCAGCUUGAAUUUCAUUGUGUCCCUUGUGGCCGAGCUCUAAGAAGAACUACUGUUUUCACGUUAAUUAAGGAGGACAAAAAAACCUUGCUGCAGGAAGGUAGAAUAACUCAUCUGGCUAAGUUUCCAAGAGGCUGAGACGGUUAUAUGGAUCUUUAACAGCCCCGCAGCCAGCAGAUGGAGGCUGUUAUUGAAAAUCGAGCCCUGUGGAUGAUGAUUAAAAGACGUUUCGGCUAUCAGUCAAAAAGCCAGUAUCGGAUAUGGCAGAGGGACUUGGCAAAUGACCCUAGUUGGCCCCCGCUAAACCAAACCUCCCACUCUGACAUGCCAGAGUGUGGCAGAGGAGUGUCUUACAGCAAUCCAGUAUUUGAGAGCAAUGAAGAACAACUUUGAAGGACAUGUGAUAUCCAAGUUGAUAUUACAGAGAAACAAUGACAAAAGGGACCCGUUUCAUUGAUUUUAAGAAAUGAGACUCUUGUAACAUCAGCUGGAGUUUUGGGGCUACCUAUCAAAUCAUGGUGACAAACUAAAGUCUGUUUGAUAAA